GACAGAGGUGCCAAGCGUUAGGCGGAAUCACUGGGCUUAAAGCGUGUGUAGGCGGAUCGUUAAGUACCUUGUGAAAUCCCACGGCUCAACCGUGGAACUGCUGGGUAUACUGGCGGUCUUGAGCCACCUAGGGGCAACUGGAACAAGCGGUGGAGCAGUGAAAUGCGUAGAUAUCGCUUGGAACGCCAACGGUGAAAACAGGUUGCUGGGGGUGUGCUGACGCUGAGACACGAAAGCCAGGGGAGCGAACGGG
rnacentral:rRNA from 1 species